rnacentral:tRNA from 1 species
GCAGUAAUGGUUCAGUGGUAGAAUUCUUCCAUUCCAUGCUAGAGACCCAGGUUCAAUUCCUGGCCAAUGUG